rnacentral:rRNA from 1 species
UCGGAUAAGAGGCUGAAACUCGCCUCUUUGAAGUCGGAAUCGCUAGUAAUCGCAGAUCAGCAUGUUGCGGUGAAUACGUUUCCUGGUCUUGUACACACCGCCCGUCAAACCAUGAGAGUCGCCAACACCCGAAGUCCGCUUUGCGGCCUAAGGUGGGGGAGAUGAUUGGGGUUAAGUCGUAACAAGGUAAC